rnacentral:rRNA from 1 species
UUGAACGCUGGCGGCAGGCCUAACACAUGCAAGUCGAACGGUAACAGGAAGCAGCUUGCUGCUUUGCUGACGAGUGGCGGACGGGUGAGUAAUGUCUGGGAAACUGCCUGAUGGAGGGGGAUAACUACUGGAAACGGUAGCUAAUACCGCAUAACGUCGCAAGACCAAAGAGGGGGACCUUCGGGCCUCUUGCCAUCGGAUGUGCCCAGAUGGGAUUAGCUUGUUGGUGGGGUAACGGCUCACCAAGGCGACGAUCCCUAGCUGGUCUGAGAGGAUGACCAGCCACACUGGAACUGAGACACGGUCCAGACUCCUACGGGAGGCAGCAGUGGGGAAUAUUGCACAAUGGGCGCAAGCCUGAUGCAGCCAUGCCGCGUGUAUGAAGAAGGCCUUCGGGUUGUAAAGUACUUUCAGCGGGGAGGAAGGGAGUAAAGUUAAUACCUUUACUCAUUGACGUUACCCGCAGAAGAAGCACCGGCUAACUCCGUGCCAGCAGCCGCGGUAAUACGGAGGGUGCAAGCGUUAAUCGGAAUUACUGGGCGUAAAGCGCACGCAGGCGGUUUGUUAAGUCAGAUGUGAAAUCCCCGGGCUCAACCUGGGAACUGCAUCUGAUACUGGCAAGCUUGAGUCUCGUAGAGGGGGGUAGAAUUCCAGGUGUAGCGGUGAAAUGCGUAGAGAUCUGGAGGAAUACCGGUGGCGAAGGCGGCCCCCUGGACGAAGACUGACGCUCAGGUGCGAAAGCGUGGGGAGCAAACAGGAUUAGAUACCCUGGUAGUCCACGCCGUAAACGAUGUCGACUUGGAGGUUGUGCCCUUGAGGCGUGGCUUCCGGAGCUAACGCGUUAAGUCGACCGCCUGGGGAGUACGGCCGCAAGGUUAAAACUCAAAUGAAUUGACGGGGGCCCGCACAAGCGGUGGAGCAUGUGGUUUAAUUCGAUGCAACGCGAAGAACCUUACCUGGUCUUGACAUCCACAGAACUUUCCAGAGAUGGAUUGGUGCCUUCGGGAACUGUGAGACAGGUGCUGCAUGGCUGUCGUCAGCUCGUGUUGUGAAAUGUUGGGUUAAGUCCCGCAACGAGCGCAACCCCUGUGAUUAGUUGCCAGCGAGUAAUGUCGGGAACUCUAAUCAAACUGCCGGUGAUAAAUCGGAGGAAGGUGGGGACGACGUCAAAUCAUCAUGCCCCUUAUAUCCUGGGCUACACACGUAAUACAAUGGCGGUCAACAGAGGGAAGCAAAGCCGCGAGGCAGAGCAAACCCCAGAAACCCGAUCUCAGUUCGGAUCGCAGGCUGCAACCCGCCUGCGUGAAGUCGGAAUCGCUAGUAAUCGCAGGUCAGCAUACUGCGGUGAAUACGUUCCCGGGCCUUGUACACACCGCCCGUCACACCACGAAAGUUGGUAACACCCGAAGCCGGUGAGGUAACCUAUUAGGAGCCAGCCGUCUAAGGUGGGGCCGAUGAUUGGGGUG